rnacentral:rRNA from 1 species
UAGGGAAUCUUCGGCAAUGGACGAAAGUCUGACCGAGCAACGCCGCGUGAGUGAAGAAGGUUUUCGGAUCGUAAAACUCUGUUGGUAGAGAAGAACGUUGGUGAGAGUGGAAAGCUCAUCAAGUGACGGUAACUACCCAGAAAGGGACAGCUAACUACGUGCCAC